GGGCUUCAGGCAGCUAUCCGCAAGCCUUUGGAGCACGGCAGGAAUUCCCGCUGCCUCCAAAGGCUUGCGGAUGGCCGUCUGAAGCCU